rnacentral:rRNA from 1 species
GGGUCAGUAGGUUGGUCGUGCCACCGGUACGUACUGGUCUCACUGAUUCCUCCUUCCUGAAGAACUGUAAUGCCAUUAAUUUGGUGUUGCGGGGAAACAGGACUGUUACUUUGAAAAAAUUAGAGUGUUUAAAGCAAGCUAACGCUUGAAUAUAUUAGCAUGGAAUAAUGAAAUAGGACGAUCGAUCCUAUUUUGUUGGUUUCUAGGAUUGACGUA